UACAGAGGGGGCAGCGUUAUUCGGAAUUAUUGGGCGUAAAGGGCGCGUAGGCGGCCUGGCAAGUGGAAGGUGAAAUCCCUCGGCUUAACCGAGGAACUGCCCUCCAAACUGCUUGGCUUGAGACCGGGAGAGGUGAGUGGAAUUUCCAGUGUAGCGGUGAAAAUGCGUAGAUAUUGGGAGGAACACCAGUGGCGAAGGGCGGCUCGACUG
rnacentral:rRNA from 1 species